GACGAACGCUGGCGGCGUGCUUAACACAUGCAAGUCGAACGGUGAAGCGCCUUCCUUGUUGGUGGGUGUGGAGGAGUGGCGAAGGGGUGAAUAACAGGUGAGUAACCUUCCCCCUUCUUCUGGAUAACCGCAUGAAGGUGUGGCUAAUACGGGAUAUUCUGGGUCUGUCGGAUGAUUGGUCUGGGACGGAUUUUGUGUCUGUUGUGGAUGGGUCCGCGCCGUAUCUGCUUGUUGGGGGGGUGAUGGCCUACCAAGGCGAUGAGGGGUAGCCGGCCUGAGAGGGUAGACGGCCCUAGAGGGACUGCGACACCGCGCAUACUGCGACGGGCGGCAGAAGUGGAGAAUACUGAACAAUGGGCGGAAGCCUGGAGCAGCGACGCGGCGGGAGGGAUGGAGGCCGGCGCGUUGUGAACCUCUUUCGGGAGUGAACCAAGCUGGCCUCGUUUGUGGGUGGGUUGACGGUAGCUGGUGAAGAAGCGCCGGCUAACUACGUG
rnacentral:rRNA from 1 species